UCUUUAAUGUCCUCCUGGUCAACACUCAGAUUCCCCUCCUGCUGUUCAGGGAGAAUUUCUUCUUUAAUCAGCAACAACUGCUGCAUGUCAUAAGGAUGUGGUU